AGUGAACGCUGGCGGUAGGCCUAACACAUGCAAGUCGAACGGCAGCACAGUAAGAGCUUGCUCUUACGGGUGGCGAGUGGCGGACGGGUGAGGAAUACAUCGGAAUCUACUUUUUCGUGGGGGAUAACGUAGGGAAACUUACGCUAAUACCGCAUACGACCUACGGGUGAAAGCAGGGGAUCUUCGGACCUUGCGCGAUUGAAUGAGCCGAUGUCGGAUUAGCUAGUUGGCGGGUAAAGGCCCACCAAGGCGACCAACCGUAGCUGGUCUGAGAGGAUGAUCAGCCACACUGGAACUGAGACACGGUCCAGACUCCUACGGGAGGCAGCAGUGGGGAAUAUUGGACAAUGGGCGCAAGCCUGAUCCAGCCAUACCGCGUGGGUGAAGAAGGCCUUCGGGUUGUAAAGCCCUUUUGUUGGGAAAGAAAAGCAGCAGGUUAAUACCCCGCUGUUCUGACGGUACCCAAAGAAUAAGCACCGGCUAACUUCGUG
rnacentral:rRNA from 1 species